UACGUAGGUGGCGAGCGUUGUCCGGAUUUACUGAGCGUAAAGAGCGCGCAGGCGGCUGGUCAAGUCCGAUGUGAAAGCUCCCGGCUUAACUGGGAAAUUGCAUCGGAAACUGAUCGGCUGGAAGGUGGGAGAGGGUAGCGGAAUUCCCGGUGUAGUGGUGAAAUGCGUAGAUAUCGGGAGGAACACCAGUGGCGAAAGCGGCUACCUGGCCCAUUCUUGACGCUGAGGCGGCGGAAAGCUAGGGGAGCAAACAGG
rnacentral:rRNA from 1 species